rnacentral:rRNA from 1 species
AGAGUUUGAUCCUGGCUCAGGAUGAACGCUAGCUACAGGCUUAACACAUGCAAGUCGAGGGGAAACGAUAUUGGAAGCUUGCUUCCGAUAGGCGUCGACCGGCGCACGGGUGAGUAACGCGUAUCCAACCUGCCCACCACUUGGGGAUAACCUUGCGAAAGUAAGACUAAUACCCAAUGAUAUCUCUAGAAGACAUCUGAAAGGGAUUAAAGAUUUAUCGGUGAUGGAUGGGGAUGCGUCUGAUUAGCUUGUUGGCGGGGUAACGGCCCACCAAGGCGACGAUCAGUAGGGGUUCUGAGAGGAAGGUCCCCCACAUUGGAACUGAGACACGGUCCAAACUCCUACGGGAGGCAGCAGUGAGGAAUAUUGGUCAAUGGGCGAGAGCCUGAACCAGCCAAGUAGCGUGCAGGAUGACGGCCCUAUGGGUUGUAAACUGCUUUUAUAAGGGAAUAAAGUGAGCCUCGUGAGGCUUUUUGCAUGUACCUUAUGAAUAAGGACCGGCUAAUUCCGUGCCAGCAGCCGCGGUAAUACGGAAGGUCCGGGCGUUAUCCGGAUUUAUUGGGUUUAAAGGGAGCGUAGGCCGGAGAUUAAGCGUGUUGUGAAAUGUAGAUGCUCAACAUCUGCACUGCAGCGCGAACUGGUUUCCUUGAGUACGCACAAAGUGGGCGGAAUUCGUGGUGUAGCGGUGAAAUGCUUAGAUAUCACGAAGAACUCCGAUUGCGAAGGCAGCUCACUGGAGCGCAACUGACGCUGAAGCUCGAAAGUGCGGGUAUCGAACAGGAUUAGAUACCCUGGUAGUCCGCACGGUAAACGAUGGAUGCCCGCUGUUGGUCUGAAUAGGUCAGCGGCCAAGCGAAAGCAUUAAGCAUCCCACCUGGGGAGUACGCCGGCAACGGUG